GUGCCAGCCGCCGCGGUAAUACGUAGGGUGCAGGCGUUAAUCGGAAUUACUGGGCGUAAAGCGUACGCAGGCGGUUUGCUAAGACAGGUGUGAAAUCCCCGGGCUUAACCUGGGAACUGCGCUUGUUACUGGCAAGCUAGAGUGUGGCAGAGGGGGGUAGAAUUCCAGGUGUAGCAGUGAAAUGCGUAGAUAUCUGGAGGAAUACCGAUGGCGAAGGCAGCCCCCUGGGUUAACACUGACGCUCAUGUACGAAAGCGUGGGGAGCAAACAGGAUUAGAUACCCCCGUAGUCC
rnacentral:rRNA from 1 species